rnacentral:rRNA from 1 species
CAGGUCUGUGAUGCCCUUAGAUGUUCUGGGCCGCACGCGCGCUACACUGAAGGGUCCAGCGUGUCUUCCCUUCCCGAGAGGGACGGGUAACCCGCUGAACUCCCUUCGUGGUAGGGAUCGGGGCUUGCAAUUAUUCCCCGUGAACCAGGAAUUCCCAGUAAGCGCAAGUCAUAAGCUUGCGUUGAUUACGUCCCUGCCCUUUGUACACACCGCCCGU